rnacentral:rRNA from 1 species
CGUCUAUAUACGUAUAGCAUAUCAAUAAGCGGAGGAAAAGAAACUAACUAGGAUUCCCUUAGUAACGGCGAGUGAAGCGGGAAGAGCUCAAAUUUGAAAUCUUCAAGGUUUUACCUUGACGAAUUGUAGUUUAAAGAAGUGUUUUCUGUUGGUGUUUUGGUAAAAGUUCUUUGGAAUAGGACAUCAUAGAGGGUGAGAAUCCCGUAUUUGACCAUUACUUUCCAGCGUUGUGAUACACUUUCAAAGAGUCGGAUUGUUUGGGAAUGCAGUCCAAAAUGGGUGGUAAAUUUCAUCUAAAGCUAAAUAUUGGCGAGAGACCGAUAGCGAACAAGUACCGUGAGGGAAAGAUGAAAAGAACUUUGAAAAGAGAGUUAAACAGUACGUGAAAUUGUCAAAAGGGAAGCGUUUGACACCAGUGUUGUUUUCUCGAAAAUCAAUUAAAAAAGUGUUGGAUUUUGUAUUGUUAAGACCUUAUCAGCUUACUGUACUCUUUUCCUGCUCUUUUUAAUGCACUUUUCGUUUAACAAGUCAACAUCAAUUCCUUUUGUUGUAAAAGAGUCAUUGGAAGGUGGCUUUCACUUUCGGAUGAAAGUGUUUAUAGCCUUUGGCUUCUGCAAUCGGAGAGAUUGAGGUCUGCAGCGUAGAUCCUUCGGGGUUAGAUACAUUUGUGCUAAGUUAUAGCCUUUCAUAGACAACUUGUUGACUAUGAUCAGUCAUGUAGCUUUACUCGCUUAUGCUAUUUUACCUACGCUUAGGAUGUUGAUGUGAUACUGCGAGC